UCUCCCUCUCUCUCUUUGUGUCUGUAUAUAUGUGUGUGUUUGCUUGUCAAUGCUCAUACGCAUGCGCAAGUUCCAAAAUGUCUGCAUCAGAAUAUUUUUCUGAUAGAAGUUUGUUCUGUGCCCAAAGAUUGAUAGGGAAUGGCUUCCAUUAUAUAAUGCUAUUUUUCUUGAGUUAGGCUACUUGACCAAGAAAAAAAAGAACACUGAAUUGUUGCCAUGAAUGUCAUGCUACGUAAAAAACUCCUACAUGAGCAUUAUCAAACAUCUUAGGUAAGAUGUGACACCUAAGUCGGAUAAACUAGAAGCGAGCAGGCAAGUCAUUACCAAUUCAGAUGAAAGCGCAGAAGAAUGGGAAUAAACAGUUGUAGAGGAAAACGAAACCUAGAUGAAACUAAUUAGCAUAACUUCAUCACAAACAUUUCGGCAUAACCUUCUGAAGAUGUUCAAGUCAUGCAGGUUGGCAACUAAAAUAUGAUUCUAGCAAUUGUUUGUCUGCUUAUCUAAUCCACAUUGUCUGAACAAAGUCUGCCCAGCUCCUAGGAUGACUAAAAGUUGUCCAUUUGUCCCUCACCAAAACCUUUUAAGAAACCAGGUCCCAUACUAGGUAGAUUGACCUAGAAGUCUUUGAUAUUUCUGAUGUUUGUGGGAGUGGUGGGGUUGUCGGAAAGCUUUUAGAUUAAAAAAUUUUGGAGUGAAGUUGGCAGGU
rnacentral:lncRNA from 1 species